GAGGGCCCCGCACAAGCAGCGGAGCGUGUGGUUUAAUUCGAUGCUACACGAAGAACCUUACCAGGGUUUGACAUGCAAGUGGUAGGAAACCGAAAGGUGACCGACCCUUCGGGGAGCUUGCACAGGUGCUGCAUGGCUGUCGUCAGCUCGUGCCGUGAGGUGUUGGGUUAAGUCCCCGCAACGAGCGCAACCCCUAUCUUUAGUUGCCCUUAUUCAGUUAGGCACUCUAAAGAGACUGCCUCGGUUAACGAGGAGGAAGGUGGGGACGACGUCAAGUCCUCAUGGCCUUUAUGUCCAGGGCUACACACGUGCUACAAUGGACGGUACAAAGGGUUGCUAUCCCGCGAGGAGGCGCUAAUCCCAAAAAGCCGUUCUCAGUUCGGAUCGGAGUCUGCAACUCGACUCCGUGAAGUUGGAAUCGCUAGUAAUCGUGGAUCAGCAUGCCCACGGUCGAAUACGUUCCGGGCCUU
rnacentral:rRNA from 1 species